rnacentral:rRNA from 1 species
UACGUAGGUGGCAAGCGUUGUCCGGAUUUACUGGGCGUAAAGAGCGCGCAGGCGGUCUUCCAAGUCAGUGGUGAAAGCCCGGAGCUCAACUCCGGAACUGCCAUUGAAACUGUUAGACUUGAGGACGAGAGAGGUGAGUGGAAUUCCCAGUGUAGAGGUGAAAUUCGUAGAUAUUGGGAAGAACACCGGUGGCGAAGGCGGCUCACUGGCUCGUAUCUGACGCUCAGGCGCGACAGCGUGGGGAUCAAACAGG